UCGUUGUAGCAAUACGAUGGAAAAUUUAGUGGCGAACGGGUGCUCAACACGUGGGCAACCUGCCAGGAAGUGGGGGAUAGCUCGCCGAAAGGCGAAUUAAUACCGCAUGUGAUUAGAGAGGACAUCCUUUCGAAAUUAAAGUCGGGGCAACCUGACGCUUUUUGUGGGGCCCGCGGCCUAUCAGCUAGUUGGUGAGGUAACGGCUCACCAAGGCUUUGACGGGUAGCUGGUCUGAGAGGACGACCAGCCACACUGGGGCUGAGACACGGCCCAGACACCUACGGGUGGCAGCAGUCGAGAAUUUUUGACAAUGGGGGAAACCCUGAUCGAGCGACGCCGCGUGGAGGAUGAAGGUCUUCGGAUUGUAAACUCCUGUCAUUGGGGAACAAUGCGCAAAUAUUAACUGUAUUUGUGUUGAUAGUACCCGAAGAGGAAGAGACGGCUAACUCUGUGCCAGCAGCCGCGGUAAUACAGAGGUCUCAAGCGUUGUUCGGAUUCAUUGGGCGUAAAGGGUGCGUAGGCGGCGCGGUAAGUCGGGUGUGAAAUCUCGGAGCUUAACUCCGAAACUGCAUUCGAUACUGCCGUGCUUGAGGACUGGAGAGGAGACUGGAAUUCACGGUGUAGCA
rnacentral:rRNA from 1 species